rnacentral:rRNA from 1 species
GAUGAACGCUGGCGGCGUGCUUAACACAUGCAAGUCGAACGGUGAAGGCGGAGCUUGCUCUGCUGGAUCAGUGGCGAACGGGUGAGUAACACGUGAGCAAUCUGCCCCUGACUCUGGGAUAAGCGCUGGAAACGGCGUCUAAUACUGGAUACGAGCUGCGAAGGCAUCUUCAGCAGCUGGAAAGAAUUUCGGUCAGGGAUGAGCUCGCGGCCUAUCAUCUUGUUGGUGAGGUAAUGGCUCACCAAGGCGUCGACGGGUAGCCGGCCUGAGAGGGUGACCGGCCACACUGGGACUGAGACACGGCCCAGACUCCUACGGGAGGCAGCAGUGGGGAAUAUUGCACAAUGGGCGAAAGCCUGAUGCAGCAACGCCGCGUGAGGGAAGACGGCCUUCGGGUUGUAAACCUCUUUUAGCAGGGAAGAAGCGAAAGUGACGGUACCUGCAGAAAAAGCGCCGGCUAACUACGUG